UACGAAGGGAGCUAGCGUUGUUCGGAAUUACUGGGCGUAAAGGGCGCGUAGGCGGCUUUAUAAGUCAGAUGUGAAAUCCCUGGGCUUAACCUAGGAAUGGCAUUUGAAACUGUAAGGCUAGAGAUCGAGAGAGGAUAGUGGAAUUGCGAGUGUAGAGGUGAAAUUCGUAGAUAUUCGCAAGAACACCGGUGGCGAAGGCGGCUAUCUGGCUCGAUACUGACGCUAAGGCGCGAAAGCGUGGGGAGCAAACAGGAUUAGAUACCCUGGUAGUCCACGCUGUAAACGAUGAAUACUAGAUGUUGGGGGAGCAAUCUCUCAGUGUCGCAGCUAACGCAUUAAGUAUUCCGCCUGGGGAGUACGGUCGCAAGAUUA
rnacentral:rRNA from 1 species